rnacentral:rRNA from 1 species
AUUGAACGCUGGCGGCAUGCUUUACACAUGCAAGUCGAGCGGCAGCGCGGGGGGCAACCCUGGCGGCGAGCGGCGAACGGGUGAGUAAUGCAUCGGAACGUGUCCCGUAGUGGGGGAUAACCCGGCGAAAGCCGGGCUAAUACCGCAUAUGCUCUACGGAGGAAAGCGGGGGACCGCAAGGCCUCGCGCUAUGGGAGCGGCCGAUGUCCGAUUAGCUAGUUGGUGGGGUAAUGGCUUACCAAGGCGACGAUCGGUAGCUGGUCUGAGAGGAUGAUCAGCCACACUGGGACUGAGACACGGCCCAGACUCCUACGGGAGGCAGCAGUGGGGAAUUUUGGACAAUGGGGGCAACCCUGAUCCAGCCAUGCCGCGUGCGGGAAGAAGGG